UUUCCCCACACUAGGGCAUAGAGCCUUCAUAAGACAAAGGGCCUCUCCUCCCAUUGAUGUUCCACUAGGCCAUCCUCUGCUACAUAUGCAUCUGGAGCCAUGUGUCCCCACCAUGUGUGCUCUUUUGUUGGUGAUUUAGUCCCUAGGAGCUCUGGGUAUACUGUCUAGUUCAUAUUGUUGUUCCUCCUAUGGGGCUACAAACCCAUUCAGCUCCUUGAGUCUUUUCUCUAGCUCCUUCAUUGGAGACCCUGUGCUCUGUUCAAUGGCUGUGAGCAUCCACUUCUGUUUUUGUCAAGCACUGGUAGAGCCUCUCAGGAGACAGCUAUAUCAGGCUCCUGUUAGCAAGCACUUGUUGGCAUUCACAAUAGUGUCUGGGUUUGGUUAUUGUAUAUGGGAUGAUCACGAGAAUUUGUAGACCUUUAUUUUAGCAAAUGCAGAUUUCUAAUGGCAAAUGGAAAGGCUUUGAUGAUAAAAUAAUUGCCAUUUGACAAGGAAUAGGAACAACAACAACUACAAAUCUUGAAAAGCCUUCAUGUAAAAGUAAAAUUCAUUAUAAAAGAACAAAACAUACAGUGGAUUCCCCGUUUGGUUUAAAAGAACACCAUUUGUGGUCUAUUCAUAAAAUCUCAGUGUGACACCCCAUCCCUAGUCAACCUCUAUGCAGAGGGAGUGGAGUUAUUUUGUAUGCCUACCUUUUGUUCUUCCCCCAUUUUCUCUUCCUCCUGUUCACAUUACAGAAGGGAAGUUAUGGAAAUAAAAGAAGAAGCCAACCGAGCAAAGCUACGCAGAAGAUUGGUGGCCUCGGGAGUAGGAGCAAGGAGCAGAAAUCCUCCAGGAAUGUUACUUGCAUGACUAACAAUACAUUUGAAAAUUCAUUUAAGGGACAUGAGGAGCUACAUCAUUAUUCUCUGGAAUUAAUUUCUCUUUCUCAUGCAACAAUGACUGUUCUUCUUAUCAACCAUUCUCAUAAUGGGGAGUAAACAACCAACCACCUCAGCAACAUAUAUUAUUAAGAUUCCUCCUUUUUAGGCCAGCUGUCCCUGCAAUUAUAUUUUAUAAAUACAUUCUGCACAGCGCCUCUCAGUUGAACACAAUAAUGUAAUUUUACUGAAUGACUCUGCAGAAGGUCUAAUUGUUUCUUGAAGCAGAGCUCCUGAUGUUAUUUUGCAUUUAAUUCGCAACCACAUGCUGAAGGUUAUUAUCUAGGCAACAACCAAGGGAAAUGUUUUCUAAGCUAAGAAACAUUUCAUGUAUGUUUUAACCUGUGGCUUUGAAACAAUUGUAUUUUGUUACUGAAAUACACCUGAGAGAGUCGCUGUAUUAAAUUAUAAGCCUUACACACAUAGAAUCAAAUCGAUGUUCAAUGCAAACAUAUACUCAUUGUAACAUUAUUGGAAAUAUAUCUGUAUAAUCCAACUAUCAGCGUGGUUAAUAGCAACUAAAUGUUUUAAAUAUGUAAAUAAAGUAUCAUGAAUAUCUAUGUCAGUGAUAGCAUCUUCUCUACAAAGGUCAACUAAAAAGUGGUGUCUUAGGAGUUGGACAGAAGGUCCAGUGGUUGAAUAUUUACAGUGUUUACCUGACAACUUGAGUUCAGUCCCUGGAUCCCACAGUGGAAGCAGAGAGCCAGCUCCUGAAAGUUGUUCUCUGGUUUCCACAUGCAUACAGUGCAUGGCACCAAUGUGUUCUUUCCUCAACAGUCAAAUAAAAUUUUAAAAUUAUAUAUUUUAAAAUAUUUUGAGCCAGUUGACAGUAUCUAUGGCAACUGUUGCCUGAUACAUUAAGCUACAGUAUUUUGUUUUUGCAAGGAGAGGCACUUUUUUAAAUUAAUUGUCUUAUUCGUUUGCAUUUCAAAUGAUAAUCCUCUUCCCACUUACCCCUCAACAAACCCCCAUCCCAUCCUCCGUUCUCCCCUGCCCCUUGCCUAUAUAAGGGUGCUCCUCCACCCACUCACCCACUCCUGACCUCACUGCUCUAGCAUCCCUACACUGGGGUGUCAAGCCUCCACAGGACCAACAACCUCCUCACUCAUUAUCAGAUAAGGCUAUCCUCUUCUACAUAUGUAUCUGGAGUCCAUGUAUACCCUUGGGUUGGUGGUUUAGUCUCUGAAUUCUCGAUGAUCCUGUUAGUUGAUAUUGUUUUUAUGUGUUUGCAAUGCCCGUCAUCUCCUUCAGUUGUUCCCUUAGCUCUUCCAUUGGGGUCCCUAGGCCCAGUGCAAUGGUUGGCUGUAUCUGAAUCUGAUUUGUUCAGGUGCUGGUAGAACUUCCCAGGAAAAGCCAUACCAGGCUCCUGUCACUGAGAGCUUCUUGGCAUCAGCAAUAGUGUCUGGGUUUGGUGUUUGCAGAUGGAAUGGAUCCCUAGGUGGGGCAGUCUCUGGAUGGCCUUUUCUUCAGUCUCUGUUUCUUUUUUUUUUUUUUUUUUUUUUUUUUUUGUCCCAGCACUUCCUUUGGACAGAAACAUUUCUGGGUCAAAAAUUUUGAGAUGGGUGAGUGGCCCCAUUCCUCAACUGGAGGCCAUGCCUCUCUACUGGAGGUGGUUUCUACAGGUUGAUCUCCCCUUUGUUGGGUAUUACAACUAAAGUUAUCCUGGUUGGAUCCUGGGAGCCUCUUGGUUCCCUGGCAUCUGGGACUUUCUAGUGGCUACAUCCAGUUCCCCAUGACCUACUGGUACAUAUUUCUUUUCUAUUUCCUGAUCCUCUGGACUUCUCUCCCUUUCAAUACCUGAUUCUGCCCCACCCCCUUUUGUUCAUCCCUCUUCUCUCUCUUUCUCAGGUCCCUCCCUUCCCCUACCUCCUGUGAUUAUUUUGCUCCCCCUACUAUGUAGGAUUGAAGCAUCCACACUUUCGUCUUCUUUCUUCUUAAGCUCUAUAUAGUUUGUGGGUUGUAUUGUGGGUAUUCUGGGCUUUUGGGAUAAUAAAUACAUGUUAUAGUUUGAUUUAAAAUUAUACUCACAUAAAAAUACAAUAGCAAAAAUAAUAGUUGACAUACUGAAGAUGCUUGCUAUUUACCAGGAAGACAUUGCAGUUUAGAUACAUUAUUGUCAUAUAUCUUCAAAGAAAAAUUUCAUGUUCCAAGUCAGGAAUUUUCAAAGCUUAGAAAAAAAAGGCAUAGCUUGCAACAGUAUAAACAGUUAAUGAAUGAAGAAUAUGGAAAUCUGCAAAACAUGCUUUACUAAAACAGACUAGGGAGGUUGCACUAUACUUAUGAAUUUGUGUGUGUGUGUGUGUAUUCUUCAAAAUGUGAUUUCUGCAAAAGGAGUUUAAGAGUAGAAUUAGAAUUUCUCACACGGAUGUUGGUUAAAGAAAACAGUAGGAAUAUUUUAAAAGCGCAGCUCUAGAUUUUAUAACAAAAUUUUUAAAAAUAAUCUUUUCUAAGUGAUUUUUGUACAGUAGAACUAAACAUAACUCAUAUUUUUCCACAAAGGAAAUCAUUUACAAACGUGCUAUAUUUGAGAAGAAAAAUAAUCUGCCCAAUAAUAACGUUGCAAAAAUAUUUAUAGCUAAAAUAAAAGAAAGAAAAAAUAAUAUAAAAUAAUAGUUUAAUAGUAAAUAUAACAACUGAAUUUAGUUAAGGAGAGAAAAUACUUUUGUUGUUACUUUUGUUGUUGUUUUCUAGGCAAGGUUUCUCUAUAUGUCCCUGACUAUCUGAAACUUGCUCAAAAAUUCUAACACAGAAGUCACAUGUGAUGAUAGUUAGCUAUUAGACAGCUUUGCCUAUAGAACAUAGUUAUUUUUAUUACCUAUAAAACAUCUGAGUCACAUUGAGUUUGCUCAUGGCCAAAUUUAAGUCUAAAUUAAGAAUAUAAAAAAGUGGACUGGUAAGAUGGGUCAGUGGGUAAGAGCACUGACAGCUCUUACGAAGGUCCUGAGUUCAAAUCCCAGCAACCAUAUGAUGGCUCACAACCACCGGUAAUGAGAUCUGAUACCCUCUUCUGGUGCUUCUGAAAUCAGCUAAAAUGUACUUAAGUAUAAUAACAAAUCUUUGGGCCAGAGCAAGCCCGGCCUACCAGAGCCCACUAGAGAGAGCAGAGGUUCU
rnacentral:lncRNA from 1 species